rnacentral:rRNA from 1 species
GCAAGACGUCAGCGGCAGACGGGAGAGUAACACGUGGGAACGUACCCUUCGGUUCGGAAUAACCCAGGGAAACUUGGAUUAAUACCGGAUACGUCCGUAAGGAGAAAGAUUUAUCGCCGAAGGAUCGGCCCGCGUCCGAUUAGCUAGUUGGUGGGGUAAUGGCCCACCAAGGCGACGAUCGGUAGCUGGUCUGAGAGGAUGAUCAGCCUCACUGGGACUGAGACACGGCCCAGACUCCUACGGGAGGCAGCAGUGGGGAAUAUUGGACAAUGGGCGCAAGCCUGAUCCAGCCAUGCCGCGUGGGUGAUGAAGGCCCUAGGG